AUUGAACGCUGGCGGCAUGCCUUACACAUGCCAGUCGAACGGUAACAGGUCUUCGGAUGCUGACGAGUGGCGAACGGGUGAGUAAUACAUCGGAACGUGCCCGAUCGUGGGGGAUAACGAGGCGAAAGCUUUGCUAAUACCGCAUACGAUCUACGGAUGAAAGCGGGGGAUCUUCGGACCUCGCGCGGACGGAGCGGCCGAUGGCAGAUUAGGUAGUUGGUGGGAUAAAAGCUUACCAAGCCGACGAUCUGUAGCUGGUCUGAGAGGAUGAUCAGCCACACUGGGACUGAGACACGGCCCAGACUCCUACGGGAGGCAGCAGUGGGGAAUUUUGGACAAUGGGCGAAAGCCUGAUCCAGCCAUGCCGCGUGCAGGAUGAAGGCCUUUGGGUUGUAAACUGCUUUUGUACGGAACGAAAAGCCUCUUUCUAAUAAAGAGGGGUCAUGACGGUACCGUAAGAAUAAGCACCGGCUAACUACGU
rnacentral:rRNA from 1 species